GCUAGAUGUUAAAAAAAAAAAAAAAAGGCAGAAAACUUUUAAGAGAUUACGUCAACAGGUGCGCAAGUAUUUUUUUUCAUAGAAAUCAAUGUGAAUUCAAACAGUUGGGUAGUUGCAAUAGCCCAAAAAAACUGGAGUUAGAAAAACAAAAACCAAACCAAAAAAAAAA